rnacentral:misc_RNA from 1 species
GAUGAAGAACGCAGCGAAAUGCGAUAAGUAGUGUGAAUUGCAGAAUUCAGUGAAUCAUCGAAUCUUUGAACGCACAUUGCGCCCCUUGGUAUUCCAUGGGGCAUGCCUGUUCGAGCGUCAUUUGUACCUUCAAGCUCUGCUUGGUGUUGGGUGUUUGUCUCGCCUCUGCGUGUAGACUCGCCUCAAAACAAUUGGCAGCCGGCGUAUUGAUUUCGGAGCGCAGUACAUCUCGCGCUUUGCACUCAUAACGACGACGUCCAAAAGUACAUUUUUACACUCUUGACCUCGGAUCAGGUAGGAAUACCCGCUGAACUUAAGCAUAUCAAUAAGCGGAGGA